AGAGUUUGAUCCUGGCUCAGGACGAACGCUGGCGGCGUGCUUAACACAUGCAAGUCGAACGUGAUUUUUAAGGAAAGCCCUUCGGGGUGGGAAUUAAAAUGAAAGUGGCGAACGGGUGAGUAACACGUGAGCAACCUACCUUACACAGGGGGAUAGCCGUUGGAAACGACGAUUAAUACCGCAUGAGACCACAGAAUCGCAUGAUAUAGGGGUCAAAGAUUUAUCGGUGUAAGAAGGGCUCGCGUCUGAUUAGCUAGUUGGAAGGGUAAAGGCCUACCAAGGCGACGAUCAGUAGCCGGUCUGAGAGGAUGAACGGCCACAUUGGAACUGAGACACGGUCCAAACUCCUACGGGAGGCAGCAGUGGGGAAUAUUGCACAAUGGGGGGAACCCUGAUGCAGCGACGCCGCGUGAGCGAAGAAGGUUUUCGAAUCGUAAAGCUCUGUCCUAUGAGAAGAUAAUGACGGUAUCAUAGGAGGAAGCCCCGGCUAAAUACGUGCCAGCAGCCGCGGU
rnacentral:rRNA from 2 species